GGUUAAGCGACUAAGCGUACACGGUGGAUGCCCUGGCAGUCAGAGGCGAUGAAGGACGUGCUAAUCUGCGAUAAGCGUCGGUAAGGUGAUAUGAACCGUUAUAACCGGCGAUUUCCGAAUGGGGAAACCCAGUGUGUUUCGACACACUAUCAUUAACUGAAUCCAUAGGUUAAUGAGGCGAACCGGGGGAACUGAAACAUCUAAGUACCCCGAGGAAAAGAAAUCAACCGAGAUUCCCCCAGUAGCGGCGAGCGAACGGGGAGCAGCCCAGAGCCUGAAUCAGUGUGUGUGUUAGUGGAAGCGUCUGGAAAGGCGCGCGAUACAGGGUGACAGCCCCGUACACAAAAAUGCACAUGCUGUGAGCUCGAUGAGUAGGGCGGGACACGUGGUAUCCUGUCUGAAUAUGGGGGGACCAUCCUCCAAGGCUAAAUACUCCUGACUGACCGAUAGUGAACCAGUACCGUGAGGGAAAGGCGAAAAGAACCCCGGCGAGGGGAGUGAAAAAGAACCUGAAACCGUGUACGUACAAGCAGUGGGAGCACGCUUAGGCGUGUGACUGCGUACCUUUUGUAUAAUGGGUCAGCGACUUAUAUUCUGUAGCAAGGUUAACCGAAUAGGGGAGCCGAAGGGAAACCGAGUCUUAACUGGGCGUUAAGUUGCAGGGUAUAGACCCGAAACCCGGUGAUCUAGCCAUGGGCAGGUUGAAGGUUGGGUAACACUAACUGGAGGACCGAACCGACUAAUGUUGAAAAAUUAGCGGAUGACUUGUGGCUGGGGGUGAAAGGCCAAUCAAACCGGGAGAUAGCUGGUUCUCCCCGAAAGCUAUUUAGGUAGCGCCUCGUGAAUUCAUCUCCGGGGGUAGAGCACUGUUUCGGCAAGGGGGUCAUCCCG
rnacentral:rRNA from 1 species